CCAGACUCCUACGGGAGGCAGCAGUGGGGAAUAUUGCACAAUGGGGGAAACCCUGAUGCAGCGACGCCGCGUGAAGGAAGAAGUAUCUCGGUAUGUAAACUUCUAUCAGCAGGGAAGAUAGUGACGGUACCUGACUAAGAAGCCCCGGCUAACUACGUGC
rnacentral:rRNA from 1 species